GCAAGUCGAGCGGAAACGACACUAACAAUCCUUCGGGUGCGUUAAUGGGCGUCGAGCGGCGGACGGGUGAGUAAUGCUUAGGAAAUUGCCUUGAUGUGGGGGAUAACCAUUGGAAACGAUGGCUAAUACCGCAUAAUGCCUACGGGCCAAAGAGGGGGACCUUCGGGCCUCUCGCGUCAAGAUAUGCCUGGGUGGGAUUAGCUAGUUGGUGAGGUAAUGGCUCACCAAGGCGACGAUCCCUAGCUGGUCUGAGAGGAUGAUC
rnacentral:rRNA from 1 species